UUAUUCGCUCGCUCGAACAGACACGCACGAACCGCUCGGUCAUAUCUCCCCUGCCCCUCGCGUUCUCCCUCUGGAAACCCUCAGCGCCGUCGUCCCGCCGCCACGCCCGGCCCCCUCGGUCGCCGGCCGGAUUCUCUCCAUCGACUCCAGAUCCGGCCGUCCCAGCUAGUUCCUCACCGAUUCCCGUCCUCACAGCCACGAGUACCGCCGUCAGCGAGGAACAGCGCCGUGGGGGAAGGAGGAGCUCACCCCCACACCAUUGAUGCCAGCAAGGAGCAGCGCCGGUGGGGGAAGGAGGAGCUCAGCGAGGAGCAAUGCUGGUGAGCAAGGAGGAGCAUCCCGACGACCAAGCCCGUCGCCCAAAGCGCAAUCACAAUGAAGGCAGCAGCGCCGUGCAGCCGGUGGCAAGGUGUUGUAGAGGAGCACGCGGAGCCAAGGUUGGGGGCACACGCUGAGGAGGACCGCAACGUUGCCGCUGUAUAGACAUGAACUAGCUACCGCAAUGUUCAUGUCUUUAGAUGUGAGACCAUUUUGAUUUGCAAACUUAUGCAAAUGAAACUCGUUUACUACAGAAACUUUUGUUGUAUGACAUAUAACAAAACUAGUUAUUCGUCAUUAUUAUGACUUGUCUUAACUUGAAAUAUUUGUGGCAUGUUCAAAAAUA